GAUGAACGCUGGCGGCGUGCCUAAUACAUGCAAGUCGAGCGAACAGACGAGGAGCUUGCUCCUCUGACGUUAGCGGCGGACGGGUGAGUAACACGUGGAUAACCUACCUAUAAGACUGGGAUAACUUCGGGAAACCGGAGCUAAUACCGGAUAAUAUAUUGAACCGCAUGGUUCAAUAGUGAAAGACGGUUUUGCGGGCACUUAUAGAUGGAUCCGCGCCGCAUUAGCUAGUUGGUAAGGUAACGGCUUACCAAGGCGACGAUGCGUAGCCGACCUGAGAGGGUGAUCGGCACCACUGGACCUGCACCCCGGUCCCGCCUCCUCCGGGCGGCCGCCGUCGGCCCUCUUCCUCCCUGGGCCCCCUCCUUCCGGUCCGCCUCCGCGUGCGUGCUGCCGGUCUUCGGAUCGUAAAACUCUGUUAUUAGGGACGCCCCCCUGUGUCCGUCCCUCUGCCCGUCUUGCCUGUCCCUCCUCCGACGGCCGCGGCUCCCUCCGUG
rnacentral:rRNA from 1 species